rnacentral:lncRNA from 1 species
AAGCUUAAAUAUUUUUGGCCCCAUUGAACACUGAGUGCACCUCCUAAGAACAUUUCUAAAACUAAACUUGUCAGCCUGGGUAUAGAUCUUGCUAAUGAUUUAAUCACAGCAAACAAUGACUUCCCAUUUAUACUGACACUUUAAGUUAUGCAAGACUUUACUGUUUUAGUACAGGAAUAUCUUAUAGCUCAUGAAGAGGAUUCUGGCCAUUGUUUAUAACAGACUGGUGGAUGGAGAAGAGUAUAUGUGUUUUUUGACUAUCCUCCAUAACAGGUCGCACGGGGAGAGCAGGUCACUCAGGCAAAGCCGUUACUUUCUUCACAGAAGACGACAAGCCAUUACUGCGAAGUAUAGCCAGCGUUAUUGAGCGGGCGGGCUGUCCUGUGCCGGAUUACAUCAAGCAUUUCCGCAAGCUGCAAAGCAAACAAAAGAAGAAGCUGAUCAAGAAGCCGCUGGAAAGGGAACACAUCGUUACGUCUCCUCAGUACUUGAAGAGGAUAGCCAAGAGGAAAAAGUAAGAGGAAAAUUCUGCAUCUGGAGCACCUAAGGAAAAAGCUGCAUUUUUAUCUGAUUCCAUAGGAAGGGAUGUGGGGGGAGCAUCGAUUACCCCUCUUGAUUGACGUAAGAAGCUGCCUCUUAUGAGUCAGACUUUUGAUCCAUCUAGCUCAGGAUCAUUUAA